UGGACUCUUUUUGAUCGGGAGGGAGUAAUGUUUUUCUUCUUUGAAAGGAGGUUUGGUAUGUGUAAAUUGUUGAUUGGGGGUAGAUAACCAUGAACAAACAAAUUAUAGUAGUAAUUUCAGACUUCUUUUUUAAACUAAUAGUCCCGUCACUUUCUUCCAUCCACUCUUCUCUGUUAAUCUGUUUGAUCGAAACAUUUUAGCUACAUAUUAAUUGUAAAAUUUAUAGUUAUGGAUGAUCAUGUUUUAACAUAUUCUGCUCAAAAUCAUCGCAUUAGUUCUUUUUUUAAUGUAGAACUAUUUUGAUUGGUGUUACUUCAGUAUAGUUUGACUAAAGAGUAAUCAUGGAUUCAGUGUUCCUUUGUCCCCUGUUUUGACACGAUAAGAAAGUUCUUAAUGCUUCUCCAUGCUCAUCGAGAUGAACCAAUGUCAGUCUGUUUUACUCCCAAGCACACCAAGUUCUUGAUGGAGCUCAUUCUAAGUCUCGGCUGAGAACUUUGAUUGAUUGAGGGAGAAUGUACAACUUCAUAGUGAGAACUUCAUGCGUGCUUUUUGUUUCCUUGAAGCUGAGCUAGAAAGACAUGGAUUGAGUUAUUAUGGCCAGUAUGAACAACUCUUUUUUUUGCUUAUGUUAGCUAUUGGGAGUUUAAUUUUAUCUCAACUGCAAAUGAUUAGAAAAUCAAUUUGAUUGAAAUCCUUUGUGAUUUUCAUAUUUUCACCUCAAGAUCCUUUUUAACUUUCACCUAUUUUUUCUAAAUCUGACAAUUCCUUUGAACUUGAAUAAAUUGUGGAAGCGUAGUGCAAUAAGAACUUAUUACUAUUGGACACCUCGAAAGAAAAUAAUACUUUUCAUUUCCUUUUUAAUAUUUGUGUUUGUAUACCAUUUUGAAUGUAUUGUGCCUAGCCAUUAUGAGACAAAUAGUCUUGCGGUUGAAUGAUUCUCCAUGUAUUUGAGGUUGGCUGUUGGAAUUACAGGAGUUGGCUUACUUUGUUGUUUCAAAAUUUUUUGGGUAAUUUACAAGACAACAUGUGUGACAGUGGCUCAACUGGAGCUAUGUCUUAUUAUCAAGUCACGGAGAAGAAGCCCGCUUGAUUAUUAUCUUCAACUACUUUAUGAAAUCAAGGCAGUUAACUGUUCUGAGGGUAAGAACUACAUGAAGGAAUAGCUUUCAUUUCUUUCAAGAUCAAGAACUACAUGUAGCAAUAUCUUUCAUCUCUUUCAAGAUUAAGAACU